rnacentral:rRNA from 1 species
UACGUAGGGUGCAAGCGUUAAUCGGAAUUACUGGGCGUAAGGCGUGCGCAGGCGGUGAUGUAAGACAGGCGUGAAAUCCCCGGGCUUAACCUGGGAACUGCAUUUGUGACUGCAUCGCUGGAGUGCGGCAGAGGGGGAUGGAAUUCCGCGUGUAGCAGUGAAAUGCGUAGAUAUGCGGAGGAACACCGAUGGCGAAGGCAAUCCCCUGGGCCUGCACUGACGCUCAUGCACGAAAGCGUGGGGAGCAAACAGG